rnacentral:misc_RNA from 1 species
GAUGAAGAACGUAGCGAAAUGCGAUACGUAAUGUGAAUUGCAGAAUUCAGUGAAUCAUUGAAUCUUUGAACGCAUAUUGCGCUCUCUGGUAUUCCGGAGAGCAUGCUUGUUUGAGUAUCAGUAAACACCUCAACUUCCAUAUCUUUUUUGAAAUGGGAGUUGGACUUGAGUGAUCCCAACGCUUUUCCUCACCGAAAAGUGGCGGGUUACUUGAAAUGCAGGUGCAGCUGGACUUUUCUCUGAGCUAUAAGCAUAUCUAUUUAGUCUGCCUAAAAAACAGAUUAUUACCUUUGCUGCAGCUAACAUAAAGGAGAUUAGUUCUUGUGCUGACUGAUGCAGGAUUCACAAAGACAGGCUUCGGCCGACUUUGUAAACUCGAUCUCAAAUCAAGUAAGACUACCCGCCGAACUUAAGCAUAUUCAAUAAGCGGAGGA